rnacentral:rRNA from 1 species
UACGUAGGUGGCUAGCGUUGUCCGGAAUUAUUGGGCGUAAAGAGCUCGUAGGCGGUGUGUCACGUCGGCCGUGAAAACCUGCAGCUUAACUGUGGGCGUGCGGUCGAUACGGGCAUCACUGGAGUUCGGCAGGGGAGACUGGAAUUCCUGGUGUAGCGGUGAAAUGCGCAGAUAUCAGGAGGAACACCGGUGGCGAAGGCGGGUCUCUGGGCCGAUACUGACGCUGAGGAGCGAAAGCGUGGGGAGCGAACAGG